rnacentral:misc_RNA from 1 species
GAUGAAGAACGUAGCGAAAUGCGAUAAGUAGUGUGAAUUGCAGAAUUCAGUGAAUCAUCGAAUCUUUGAACGCACAUUGCGCCCCUUGGUAUUCCGAGGGGCAUGCCUGUUCGAGCGUCAUUAUAACCCCUCAAGCUCAGCUUGGUGUUGGGGCCUGCUGCACUGGCAGCCCUUAAAAUCAGUGGCGGCGCCAUCUGGCUCUAAGCGUAGUAAUUCUUCUCGCUAUGGAGUCCUGGUGGAUGCUUGCCAUCAACCACCAAUUUUUCUAUGGUUGACCUCGGAUCAGGUAGGGAUACCCGCUGAACUUAAGCAUAUCAAUAAGCGGAGGA